rnacentral:rRNA from 1 species
GGGUUGUGAGGUUAAGCGACUAAGCGUACACGGUGGAUGCCCUGGCAGUCAGAGGCGAUGAAGGGCGUGCUAAUCUGCGAUAAGCGCCGGUAAGGUGAUAUGAACCGUUAUAACCGGCGAUACCCGAAUGGGGAAACCCAGUGUGAUUCGUCACACUAUCAUUAACUGAAUCCAUAGGUUAAUGAGGCGAACCGGGGGAACUGAAACAUCUAAGUACCCCGAGGAAAAGAAAUCAACCGAGAUUCCCCCAGUAGCGGCGAGCGAACGGGGAGGAGCCCAGAGCCUGAAUCAGCAUGUGUGUUAGUGGAAGCGUCUGGAAAGGCGCGCGAUACAGGGUGACAGCCCCGUACACAAAAGCGCAUGUGCUGUGAGCUCGAUGAGUAGGGCGGGACACGUGGUAUCCUGUCUGAAUAUGGGGGGACCAUCCUCCAAGGCUAAAUACUCCUGACUGACCGAUAGUGAACCAGUACCGUGAGGGAAAGGCGAAAAGAACCCCGGCGAGGGGAGUGAAAAAGAACCUGAAACCGUGUACGUACAAGCAGUGGGAGCACCCUUUGGGUGUGACUGCGUACCUUUUGUAUAAUGGGUCAGCGACUUAUAUUCUGUAGCAAGGUUAACCGAAUAGGGGAGCCGGAGGGAAACCGAGUCUUAAUUGGGCGUUAAGUUGCAGGGUAUAGACCCGAAACCCGGUGAUCUAGCCAUGGGCAGGUUGAAGGUUGGGUAACACUAACUGGAGGACCGAACCGACUAAUGUUGAAAAAUUAGCGGAUGACCUGUGGCUGGGGGUGAAAGGCCAAUCAAACCGGGAGAUAGCUGGUUCUCCCCGAAAGCUAUUUAGGUAGCGCCUCGUGAAUUCAUCUCCGGGGGUAGAGCACUGUUUCGGCUAGGGGGCCAUCCCGGCUUACCAACCCGAUGCAAACUGCGAAUACCGGAGAAUGUUAUCACGGGAGACACACGGCGGGUGCUAACGUCCGUCGUGAAGAGGGAAACAACCCAGACCGCCAGCUAAGGUCCCAAAGUCAUGGUUAAGUGGGAAACGAUGUGGGAAGGCCCAGACAGCCAGGAUGUUGGCUUAGAAGCAGCCAUCAUUUAAAGAAAGCGUAAUAGCUCACUGGUCGAGUCGGCCUGCGCGGAAGAUGUAACGGGGCUAAACCAUGCACCGAAGCUGCGGCAGCGACACUGUGUGUUGUUGGGUAGGGGAGCGUUCUGUAAGCCUGCGAAGGUGGCCUGUGAGGGUUGCUGGAGGUAUCAGAAGUGCGAAUGCUGACAUAAGUAACGAUAAAGCGGGUGAAAAGCCCGCUCGCCGGAAGACCAAGGGUUCCUGUCCAACGUUAAUCGGGGCAGGGUGAGUCGACCCCUAAGGCGAGGCCGAAAGGCGUAGUCGAUGGGAAACGGGUUAAUAUUCCCGUACUUGGUGUUACUGCGAAGGGGGACGGAGAAGGCUAUGUUGGCCGGGCGACGGUUGUCCCGGUUUAAGCGUGUAGGUGUGUGUUCCAGGUAAAUCCGGUUCACUUUAACACUGAGGCGUGACGACGAGGCACUACGGUGCUGAAGCAACAAAUGCCCUGCUUCCAGGAAAAGCCUCUAAGCAUCAGGUAACAUCAAAUCGUACCCCAAACCGACACAGGUGGUCAGGUAGAGAAUACCAAGGCGCUUGAGAGAACUCGGGUGAAGGAACUAGGCAAAAUGGUGCCGUAACUUCGGGAGAAGGCACGCUGACACGUAGGUGAAGUGAUUUACUCAUGGAGCUGAAGUCAGUCGAAGAUACCAGCUGGCUGCAACUGUUUAUUAAAAACACAGCACUGUGCAAACACGAAAGUGGACGUAUACGGUGUGACGCCUGCCCGGUGCCGGAAGGUUAAUUGAUGGGGUCAGCGCAAGCGAAGCUCCUGAUCGAAGCCCCGGUAAACGGCGGCCGUAACUAUAACGGUCCUAAGGUAGCGAAAUUCCUUGUCGGGUAAGUUCCGACCUGCACGAAUGGCGUAAUGAUGGCCAGGCUGUCUCCACCCGAGACUCAGUGAAAUUGAACUCGCUGUGAAGAUGCAGUGUACCCGCGGCAAGACGGAAAGACCCCGUGAACCUUUACUAUAGCUUGACACUGAACAUUGAGCCUUGAUGUGUAGGAUAGGUGGGAGGCUUUGAAGUGUGGACGCCAGUCUGCAUGGAGCCGACCUUGAAAUACCACCCUUUAAUGUUUGAUGUUCUAACGUGGACCCGUUACCCGGGUUGCGGACAGUGUCUGGUGGGUAGUUUGACUGGGGCGGUCUCCUCCUAAAGAGUAACGGAGGAGCACGAAGGUUGGCUAAUCCUGGUCGGACAUCAGGAGGUUAGUGCAAUGGCAUAAGCCAGCUUGACUGCGAGCGUGACGGCGCGAGCAGGUGCGAAAGCAGGUCAUAGUGAUCCGGUGGUUCUGAAUGGAAGGGCCAUCGCUCAACGGAUAAAAGGUACUCCGGGGAUAACAGGCUGAUACCGCCCAAGAGUUCAUAUCGACGGCGGUGUUUGGCACCUCGAUGUCGGCUCAUCACAUCCUGGGGCUGAAGUAGGUCCCAAGGGUAUGGCUGUUCGCCAUUUAAAGUGGUACGCGAGCUGGGUUUAGAACGUCGUGAGACAGUUCGGUCCCUAUCUGCCGUGGGCGCUGGAGAACUGAGGGGGGCUGCUCCUAGUACGAGAGGACCGGAGUGGACGCAUCACUGGUGUUCGGGUUGUCAUGCCAAUGGCACUGCCCGGUAGCUAAAUGCGGAAGAGAUAAGUGCUGAAAGCAUCUAAGCACGAAACUUGCCCCGAGAUGAGUUCUCCCUGAGACUUUAGGUCUCCUGAAGGAACGUUGAAGACGACGACGUUGAUAGGCCGGGUGUGUAAGCGCAGCGAUGCGUUGAGCUAACCGGUACUAAUGAACCGUGAGGCUUAACCUUACAACGCCGAAG